rnacentral:rRNA from 1 species
GACGAACGCUGGCGGCGUGCCUAAUACAUGCAAGUCGAGCGGAAGUUGGAGAGCUUGCUCUUCAACUUUAGCGGCGGACGGGUGAGUAACACGUGGGCAACCUGCCCUGCAGAUCGGGAUAACUCCGGGAAACCGGUGCUAAUACCGAAUAGUUUUCGCCACCUCCUGGUGGCGUACGGAAAGACGGUUUCGGCUGCCACUGCAGGAUGGGCCCGCGGCGCAUUAGCUAGUUGGUGGGGUAACGGCCCACCAAGGCGACGAUGCGUAGCCGACCUGAGAGGGUGAUCGGCCACACUGGGACUGAGACACGGCCCAGACUCCUACGGGAGGCAGCAGUAGGGAAUCUUCCGCAAUGGACGAAAGUCUGACGGAGCAACGCCGCGUGAGUGACGAAGGUUUUCGGAUCGUAAAACUCUGUUGUGAGGGAAGAACAAGUACCAACUAACUACUGGUACCUUGACGGUACCUCACCAGAAAGCCACGGCUAACUACGUGCCAGCAGCCGCGGUAAUAC